rnacentral:rRNA from 1 species
CCAGACUCCUACGGGAGGCAGCAGUGGGGAAUAUUGGACAAUGGGGGGAACCCUGAUCCAGCGACGCCGCGUGAGUGAAGAAGUAUUUCGGUAUGUAAAGCUCUAUCAGCAGGGAAGAAAGAAAUGACGGUACCUGACUAAGAAGCCCCGGCUAACUACGUGCCAGCAGCCGCGGUAAUACGUAGGGGGCAAGCGUUAUCCGGAUUUACUGGGUGUAAAGGGAGCGUAGACGGCAUGGCAAGUCAGAUGUGAAAGCCCGGGGCUCAACCCCGGGACUGCAUUUGAAACUGUCAGGCUGGAGUGCAGGAGAGGUAAGUGGAAUUCCUAGUGUAGCGGUGAAAUGCGUAGAUAUUAGGAGGAACACCAGUGGCGAAGGCGGCCUACUGGACUGUAACUGACGUUGAGGCUCGAAAGCGUGGGGAGCAAACAGGAUUAGAUACCCUUGUAAUC